AAAUUGCGAAUUGAGGUUUUUCUGUUGUUCUUCAUUUUUUUCUUCGAUAAUUCAAUUUAGUUCGUAGAUAAUUGAAAUUCGAAGCAAUCCUUCAGUUUUUUCUUCGAUAAUUCGAUUCAGUUUGUAGAUAAUUGAAAGUCGAAGCAAUCCUUCAAAAUCUAGGGUUGAAGUUUUAGAUCCAGUGACUGACUCAAGGAAUCGAUCAUUCUGUGUAAUUUCGAGUUGUUACAGCUUAUAUUCAUCACAAUAAUGUCAAAUGUGGAAGCAACACGGCUCAAUGGUGACAAUGUUGCAAAUGAAGCUACAUCUGCAAAUGUGAAUACUAGUGCCACUUCACAGCAAGUUGAUGAAGUUCAUCACAAUCAUCCUCUCUACAUUCAUCCUUCAGACACUCAAGGUUCAACACUCAUUUUUGUUCAACUUCAAGGUACUGAAAACUAUCCUCUCUGGAGUAAAGCCUUGAUGAUCGUGUUGCGUGGUAAAAACAAGCUAGGAUUUAUGUUAGGAACUUGCAAAAAGGAAAUGUAUGAGUCUAAUCUUCAUGACAUGUGGGAUAAGAGCAAUGCUAUAGUGCUAGCAUGGAUAAUGAACAUUGUAUCCAAAGGUCUAAUUAGUACUGUAAUUCAUACAUCUAAUGCUCAAAAACUAUGGGAGGAUUUUCGGGAAAGGUUUGACAAGGUGAAUGCUUUUUUAUCUACAUGAGGAGAUUGCAACCCUAACUCAAGGAACAUCAUCUGUGUCUGUAUAUUUUUAUAGAAUAAGGGAGUUUUGGGAUGAACUUCAAGCACUAAUCCCACCUCCUUCCUGUCCAUAUCCUGAGACUAAGUAGUAAAAGGAUCAUUUUCACCUGCAGAGGCUCUAGCAAUUGUAAAUGGGCUUAAAUGAAUCAUAUGAUCAUGCUAAGACUCAAGUGUUGAUGAAUUUUCCUUUGCCUAAUGUAAGUCAAGCCUAUGCCAUGAUUGUGAAUGUUGAGAGGUAAAGGAGAAACAGUUUUAGUGGUUCAUCAGUGUCAGUUUCAGAGAAUAAUGACACCACCUCACUAAUGAGUAACAGGAACAAUGAAUCUACUUCGCUCACAUGAACAACAGGGCUUCCAACAGUGGUUUCAGGCCUAGAAACAGUUUUGAGAGUCAAAACUAUAGGAAUCAGAACUAUGUGAACUAAUCCAUUCUUGUAUGUGAAUUCUGCAACUACAAGGAAAUCCAUCACAUGAACUGCAAGGUAACUCUAAAAAUCAAGUACAUCUACUUCACCUAACGCUCCCUUCUUCACUCAGGAUCAAUAUAAUCAGAUACUUCGGAUGCUCAACAAAGGAAAGGGCGUGGAUCUUGUUGCCAACUCAGCCAGUGUUGGUGCAGCAUGUAAAACUGUUACUUGUAUGUCUAAGACAGUUGAGUGUGAUUGGAUUAUAGAUACAGGAGCAUCCAUAUGGUGCAUAAUCUGAACUUGCUAGCAUAAUUUGAACUUGCUAAGUAAAUGGGAAGAACUAGCAAGUAUACAUAGAAAUCAGGUUAAUCUACCUAAUGGAGGUCAGGUUUCUAUUAGUCAUAAAGGUUUAGCAUCUAUUUUUUAAGAAUAGAACUGUGCAGAAUGAGUUGUACAUUCCAUACUUUAAGUUCAAUUUAUUGUCUGUUUCUUAGAUCACAAAGGAAUGGCAAUGUUUUGUUGGAUUCUUCCUUGAUUUCUGUCUUUCAGGAACUUUCGAGUGGGAAGGUGAUAGGCAUUGGUAGAGAAGAUCAUGGACUAUAUAUACUCAAAGUUGGUUCUACAGCAUGUUUCUUGAAUAAAGCGGCAUCUACUGCUACUACAUUAGAGUCUACUACUGUCGGUCACAAUAAUGUAAAGAAUGUUAUUUGUAAGUCUGUAUGUAAAUCUAUUGAAAAUAAGUAUUGCAAUGAUAGUUCCACGCGGCAUAAAAGACUAGGACAUGACCCUCUGUCUGUAUUUAAGAAAAUUAGUGGUAUUCAAAGUUCCUCCUUAAGAGAUCAUGUUUGUACUAUUUUUCCUCUUACUAAACAAAUAAGAUUGCCAUUCUCCAUUACUACUUCUUCUUAUGCUCAUUCCUUAGAUUUAAUACAUGCUGAUGUGUGGGUUCUUAUAGGGUAGCCUGUCAUCAAGGGAAGAGGUACUUUAUAACCUUAGUGGAUUAUUAUUCUAGGUAUACAUGGAUUUUUUGUAUGCACACUAAGGCAGAUUCCAUAGUGGUGCCCAGACAGUUCUUUAUGUUUAUCAAAAAUCAGUUUGCUAGUACUAUCAAAUGUCUUAGGUCUAACAAUGGUACUAAGUUCCUAAAUUAUCAAGUUACUAGU